UAAAACUUGGAAACUAAUGUUGGAUCGAAAAAUGGACGUCCGAGAUUCGUCCACGUCAUCAUUAGUAAAAAAAUUUACUACUUAUGAAUAAAUCUAUGAGUAAAAUUUUUACUCGUGAUGACGUGGUCGAAUCUCGAACGUCUAUUUUUCGAUCCAAUAGUAGUUUCUAACUUUCC
rnacentral:pre_miRNA from 2 species